GCGGGGGUUGUAGAGCCUGGCCAAAUACGCGGGACUUAAGAUCCCGUCCUUUAGAGGUUCGUGGGUUCAAAUCCCACCCCCCGCA
rnacentral:tRNA from 1 species